GACGAACGCUGGCGGCGUGCUUAACACAUGCAAGUCGAACGGAAAGGCCCUGCUUUUGUGGGGUGUUCGAGUGGCGAACGGGUGAGUAACACGUGAGUAACCUGCCCUUGACUUUGGGAUAACUUCAGGAAACUGGGGCUAAUACCGGAUAGGAGCUCCUGCUGCAUGGUGGGGGUUGGAAAGUUUCGGCGGUUGGGGAUGGACUCGCGGCUUAUCAGCUUGUUGGUGGGGUAGUGGCUUACCAAGGCUUUGACGGGUAGCCGGCCUGAGAGGGUGACCGGCCACAUUGGGACUGAGAUACGGCCCAGACUCCUACGGGAGGCAGCAGUGGGGAAUAUUGCACAAUGGGCGGAAGCCUGAUGCAGCAACGCCGCGUGCGGGAUGACGGCCUUCGGAUUGUAAACCGCUUUCGCCUGUGACGAAGCGUGAGUGACGGUAAUGGGUAAAGAAGCACCGGCUAACUACGUG
rnacentral:rRNA from 1 species